AUGCCGCAGGAGGGUCAUGCAGCACGGCGGUCGCCGUUUCUGAUAAGGAAGCUCAAAGGAAGCAAGACUUCAACAAAAAUCUCUGAAUGCAUUCCAAGCUUCUGUAAGGCAUACGUCAUUUCAAAGGGCAAACUAUCAUUCAUGCACUCUACACCUGAUGCCUGCAAAACAGCCAAGACCAUAUCUUCUUCAACUGUUUCUUCUCCUAGCUCCGGAAGCCUUUCCACUGCGCCCUCAGCAGAGUGGGCUGACAGAAAUGGAAUGUCAGCUGUAUUAUUCCGCCAGUCAUCUCUGCCAUCGCAUCGUGAUCACACACUCAUAAAUAUAAACAGGUCAAUCCUGAAGCUAGCCCUUCAGGCAGUGCUGGCGCGCGAGAUCUCUUACCAUGCUGAUACAACCCUGAAGACAAAUUCACAAUCAAUCACAUCAGUAGUGCAGCUCAGUAGCAGCAGCAGUGGGGAUUCAGUUUAUAGCAGCUUCCAGGGGAUAGCUUCCGAGAUAUCUCUGAUCUACAGGCAGCAGUUUCAAAAACUGCAACAAACCUUGGGCAUUCUCAUGACCAGGAUGAUCUGA
rnacentral:rRNA from 1 species